GACGAACGCUGGCGGCGUGCUUAACACAUGCAAGUCGAACGGUAAGGCCCUUCGGGGUACACGAGUGGCGAACGGGUGAGUAACACGUGGGUGAUCUGCCCUGCACUUCGGGAUAAGCCUGGGAAACUGGGUCUAAUACCGGAUAGGACCAUGGACUUCACGGUUUGUGGUGGAAAGCUUUUGCGGUGUGGGAUGGGCCCGCGGCCUAUCAGCUUGUUGGUGGGGUAAUGGCCUACCAAGGCGACGACGGGUAGCCGGCCUGAGAGGGUGUCCGGCCACACUGGGACUGAGAUACGGCCCAGACUCCUACGGGAGGCAGCAGUGGGAAUAUUGCACAAUGGGCGCAAGCCUGAUGCAGCGACGCCGCGUGAGGGAUGACGGCCUCGGUUGUAACCUCUUUCAAUAGGACGAAGCGCAAGUGACGGUACC
rnacentral:rRNA from 1 species